rnacentral:tRNA from 1 species
UGCCUAAAAAACCAUCAGAUUUAACUCAAUUAUUUGAUUUUCGGGAAAUCAAUUCCCUACUU